AUUGAACGCUGGCGGCAGGCCUAACACAUGCAAGUCGAACGGUAACAGGAAGAAGCUUGCUUCUUUGCUGACGAGUGGCGGACGGGUGAGUAAUGUCUGGGAAACUGCCUGAUGGAGGGGGAUAACUACUGGAAACGGUAGCUAAUACCGCAUAACGUCGCAAGACCAAAGAGGGGGACCUUCGGGCCUCUUGCCAUCGGAUGUGCCCAGAUGGGAUUAGCUUGUUGGUGGGGUAACGGCUCACCAAGGCGACGAUCCCUAGCUGGUCUGAGAGGAUGACCAGCCACACUGGAACUGAGACACGGUCCAGACUCCUACGGGAGGCAGCAGUGGGGAAUAUUGCACAAUGGGCGCAAGCCUGAUGCAGCCAUGCCGCGUGUAUGAAGAAGGCCUUCGGGUUGUAAAGUACUUUCAGCGGGGAGGAAGGGAGUAAAGUUAAUACCUUUGCUCAUUGACGUUACCCGCAGAAGAAGCACCGGCUAACUCCGUGCCAGCAGCCGCGGUAAUACGGAGGGUGCAAGCGUUAAUCGGAAUUACUGGGCGUAAAGCGCACGCAGGCGGUUUGUUAAGUCAGAUGUGAAAUCCCCGGGCUCAACCUGGGAACUGCAUCUGAUACUGGCAAGCUUGAGUCUCGUAGAGGGGGGUAGAAUUCCAGGUGUAGCGGUGAAAUGCGUAGAGAUCUGGAGGAAUACCGGUGGCGAAGGCGGCCCCCUGGACGAAGACUGACGCUCAGGUGCGAAAGCGUGGGGAGCAAACAGGAUUAGAUACCCUGGUAGUCCACGCCGUAAACGAUGUCGACUUGGAGGUUGUGCCCUUGAGGCGUGGCUUCCGGAGGUAACGCGUUAAGUCGACCGCCUGGGGAGUACGGCCGCAAGGUUAAAACUCAAAUGAAUUGACGGGGGCCCGCACAAGCGGUGGAGCAUGUGGUUUAAUUCGAUGCAACGCGAAGAACCUUACCUGGUCUUGACAUCCACGGAAGUUUUCAGAGAUGAGAAUGUGCCUUCGGGAACCGUGAGAUAGGUGCUGCAUGGCUGUCGUCAGCUCGUGUUGUGAAAUGUUGGGUUAAGUCCCGCAACGAGCGCAACCCUUAUCCUUUGUUGCCAGCGGUCCGGCCGGGAACUCAAAGGAGACUGCCAGUGAUAAACUGGAGGAAGGUGGGGAUGACGUCAAGUCAUCAUGGCCCUUACGACCAGGGCUACACACGUGCUACAAUGGCGCAUACAAAGAGAAGCGACCUCGCGAGAGCAAGCGGACCUCAUAAAGUGCGUCGUAGUCCGGAUUGGAGUCUGCAACUCGACUCCAUGAAGUCGGAAUCGCUAGUAAUCGUGGAUCAGAAUGCCACGGUGAAUACGUUCCCGGGCCUUGUACACACCGCCCGUCACACCAUGGGAGUGGGUUGCAAAAGAAGUAGGUAGCUUAACCUUCGGGAGGGAGGUUACCACUUUGUGAUUCAUGACUGGGGUGAA
rnacentral:rRNA from 1 species